rnacentral:rRNA from 1 species
GUUUGAUCCUGGCUCAGAGCGAACGUUAGCGGCAGGCUUAACACAUGCAAGUCGAGCGACAAAGGGGCUUCGGCCCUGAGUAGAGCGGCGGACGGGUGCGUAACACGUGGAUAAUCUGCCUCGUGGCGGGGGAUAACAGUCCGAAAGGACUGCUAAUACCGCAUGUCAGGUCGGAAACCCCGGUUUCUGACGAAAAAGAGGGCGCCCGCAAGGGGCUCUCACCACGAGAUGAGUCCGCGGCCCAUCAGCUAGUUGGCGGUGUAAUAGACCACCAAGGCUAAGACGGGUAGCUGGUCUGAGAGGAUGACCAGCCACACUGGGACUGAGACACGGCCCAGACUCCUACGGGAGGCAGCAGUGGGGAAUAUUGGACAAUGGGCGAAAGCCUGAUCCAGCCAUGCCGCGUGAGUGAUGAAGGUCUUCGGAUCGUAAAGCUCUGU